rnacentral:rRNA from 1 species
UACGGAGGGUGCAAGCGUUAUCCGGAUUCACUGGGUUUAAAGGGCGCGUAGGCGGCCCGCUAAGUCGAACGUGAAAUCCCUGGGCUCAACCCAGGAACUGCGUCCGAUACUGGCAGGCUUGAAUCCGGGAGAGGGAUGCGGAAUUCCAGGUGUAGCGGUGAAAUGCGUGGAUAUCUGGAGGAACACCGGUGGCGAAGGCGGCAUCCUGGACCGGCAUUGACGCUGAGGCGCGAAAGCCAGGGGAGCAAACGGG